CGCCCCCUCCCGGCGGGAAGCGCGCGGGAGCCUGAGGGGGCCGCGGGGACGGGGGCGGCCCGUGAGGCCGCAACCGGCAAAAAAUACGGCAAAAGCGGGGAAAAUGCACCCGGGUUAACGCCUCCGAGCACCCUCGCCCUGCUUUGGCAAGGUUCCCGUCAAGCCGCAGUGCGCGUGACUGAUGUCGGCAGAGUCAAGCUUUCUCUGUCCCCCCAGCUGCGCGUGGGACUGGAAGCCUCAGUGAAGCAAUCCCUGUGCACUGGGACUGUUGCCUUGAAGGAUGUUCCCUGUUAUCUUCCUGAAUGACACUGAUGUACAUACAAGAGGAGAAAAUACUUCACAUUAGAGGUAUAGAUGCACAUAUAUACCACUGCGUUUCUGUAAUUGAAACAGAAAUGUUAACACUGAUUUUAAAGGAAAACUCUGCACAGGAUUUGUGAUAUUUUCCUUGGGCUUUCUGCAAUUGACUUCCAGAACCUCAGGAGAAAACUCCAAACUUUAGGGAUUUUAACCUGACGGAGAACUUUCCAACGUGCUCCACAGAAAUGUUUCUUGGCUGCUUCUGUGACUGCCUCUUUUACUGGUGUUCACUGAGACAAAAUACACAUUUUUUUUUUUACCCAACGAGCACACUUUUUUUUACCCAAGUAAUAAAAUAUGACACUAGA